GGGGCUUGGCCCUUUAUAGACCUACGAUGUAAUAAUACCCUAACCACAUACCCACCAUACGACUGGAAUCACACAUACACUGCCACAAGAGGUCUGCAGUGAAGGUCCCAAAGUCCCAGACAACGGAGUCUCUCUCUGUCGCCCAGGGUAGAGUGCAGUGGUGCAAUCCUGGCUCACUGCAACCUCUGCCUCCCAGGUUCAAGUGAUUCUCCUGCCUCAGCUUCCCAAGUAGCUGGGACUACAGGCGUGUGCCACCACGACCAGCAAAAUCAUAGAAGGAAACUCUAUGGACAAUUUCAGAUGGAGAAGAAGAAAGGACUGGAAGUUCAAUUUGGCCAUGACAAUUAGACUUGAAGAAGCUGAGUGAGAAGGCCAUGCAGAUAUCUUGGAGAAGUGCAUUCCAGGCAGAGGAAAAGCCAGUGCAGAGACACUGAAGCAGGGCAUGACUGAUGUGUAUAAGGAGCAUCAUAUACAUGAUCAUCUACAGUCCACUGAGGAGAAUAGCAGACGAGAGGCCAGGUGCAGUGCAUGUAAUCCCAGCACUUUGGGAGACUGAGAUGGGAAGAUCGCUUGAGGCCAGGAGUGCAAGACCAGCCUGGGCAACACAGCAAGACCUUGAUUCUACUAAAAAAAAAAAAGGAUCCUUCAACUUCAACAAUAAUAACACAAGGGAAGUGAAGAAAAACACUUUCUAAGGAAAUCUCUCUCUGAGCUACCAUCCUGCUAGGGAGAGCCUGAAAGCAGAAUGCUGACUUGACUAGCUCUGGUCAAUGAAAGAAAUCACCAGUGGAAAGGCUACCAGGGGGCUUUCUCAAAAGAGAGGGACAGUAAACUGCAAGAUGAACAACUCAAUGCCAUCCAGGUCUGGAUGAGAAAGAACAGUCG
rnacentral:lncRNA from 1 species